rnacentral:rRNA from 1 species
CGAACGCUGGCGGCGUGCUUAACACAUGCACGUCGAACGGAAAGGCCCUGCUUUUGUGGGGUGCUCGAGUGGCGAACGGGUGAGUAACACGUGAGUAACCUGCCCUUGACUUUGGGAUAACUUCAGGAAACUGGGGCUAAUACCGGAUAGGAGCUCCUGCUGCAUGGUGGGGGUUGGAAAGUUUCGGCGGUUGGGGAUGGACUCGCGGCUUAUCAGCUUGUUGGUGGGGUAGUGGCUUACCAAGGCUUUGACGGGUAGCCGGCCUGAGAGGGUGACCGGCCACAUUGGGACUGAGAUACGGCCCAGACUCCUACGGGAGGCAGCAGUGGGGAAUAUUGCACAAUGGGCGGAAGCCUGAUGCAGCAACGCCGCGUGCGGGAUGACGGCCUUCGGAUUGUAAACCGCUUUCGCCUGUGACGAAGCGUGAGUGACGGUAAUGGGUAAAGAAGCACCGGCUAACUACGUG